AGAGUUUGAUCCUGGCUCAGGAUGAACGCUGGCGGCGUGCCUAAUACAUGCAAGUCGAGCGAACAGAUAAGGAGCUUGCUCCUUUGACGUUAGCGGCGGACGGGUGAGUAACACGUGGGUAACCUACCUAUAAGACUGGAAUAACUCCGGGAAACCGGGGCUAAUGCCGGAUAACAUUUAGAACCGCAUGGUUCUAAAGUGAAAGAUGGUUUUGCUAUCACUUAUAGAUGGACCCGCGCCGUAUUAGCUAGUUGGUAAGGUAAUGGCUUACCAAGGCAACGAUACGUAGCCGACCUGAGAGGGUGAUCGGCCACACUGGAACUGAGACACGGUCCAGACUCCUACGGGAGGCAGCAGUAGGGAAUCUUCCGCAAUGGGCGAAAGCCUGACGGAGCAACGCCGCGUGAGUGAUGAAGGGUUUCGGCUCGUAAAACUCUGUUAUUAGGGAAGAACAAACGUGUAAGUAACUGUGCACGUCUUGACGGUACCUAAUCAGAAAGCCACGGCUAACUACGUGCCAGCAGCCGCGGUAAUACGUAGGUGGCAAGCGUUAUCCGGAAUUAUUGGGCGUAAAGCGCGCGUAGGCGGUUUCUUAAGUCUGAUGUGAAAGCCCACGGCUCAACCGUGGAGGGUCAUUGGAAACUGGGAGACUUGAGUGCAGAAGAGGAAAGUGGAAUUCCAUGUGUAGCGGUGAAAUGCGCAGAGAUAUGGAGGAACACCAGU
rnacentral:rRNA from 1 species